rnacentral:rRNA from 1 species
AACGAACGCUGGCGGCAUGCCUAACACAUGCAAGUCGAACGAAGCCUUCGGGCUUAGUGGCGCACGGGUGCGUAACGCGUGGGAAUCUGCCCUUGGGUUCGGAAUAACAGUUAGAAAUGACUGCUAAUACCGGAUGAUGUCUUCGGACCAAAGAUUUAUCGCCCAAGGAUGAGCCCGCGUAGGAUUAGGUAGUUGGGUGGGGUAAUGGCCCACCAAGCCGACGAUCCUUAGCUGGUCUGAGAGGAUGAUCAGCCACACUGGGACUGAGACACGGCCCAGACUCCUACGGGAGGCAGCAGUGGGAAUAUUGGACAAUGGGCGAAAGCCUGAUCCAGCAAUGCCGCGCGAGUGAUGAAGGCCUUAGGGUGUAAAGCUCUUUUACCAGGGAUGAUAAUGACAGUACCUGGAGAAUAAGCUCCGGCUAACUCCGUGCCAGCAGCCGCGGUAAU